AAUCAUCUGGAAUGAAGGGACGGCAAGAUCGGUGCCGGCCGCCGCGGUGAUUCCGGCUGCCAAGUGGUGGCCCUAUUACUGGGUUUAAUCGUCCGUAGCUUGACUGUUAGGUCUCUUGGGAAAUCUUCGCGCUCAACGUGAAGGCGUUUAAGAGAUACCGGCAGUCUUGGAACUGGGAGAGGUAAACCGUACUUCGGGGGUAGGAGUGAAAUCUUGUAAUCCUCGAGGGACGACCUAUGGCGAAGGCAGUUUACCAGAACAGCUUCGACAGUGAGGGACGAAAGCUGGGGGAGCAAACGGGAUUAGAUACCCCGGUAGUCCCAGCCGUAAACAAUGUGCGUUAGGUGUGUCGGUAACCACGUGUUACUGAUGCGCCGAAGAGAAAUCGUGAAACGCACCACCUGGGAAGUACGGUCGCAAGGCUGAAACUUAAAGGAAUUGGCGGGGGAGCACCACAACAGGUGGAGCGUGCGGUUUAAUGGAUUCAACCCUAUGCAUCUCAGCAGGAUAAGACAGUAUGAAUCAUU
rnacentral:rRNA from 1 species